GACGAACGCUGGCGGCGUGCUUAACACAUGCAAGUCGAACGGAAAGGCCUGCUUUCCCUUGUGGAUUGCGGGUACUCGAGUGGCGAACGGGUGAGUAACACGUGAGUGAUCUGCCCCCAACUUGGGUAUAAGCCUGGGAAACUGGGUCUAAUUCCCGAUAGGACUGCAGGGUGGUGCCUGUGGUGGAAAACGAUUUUCUAGUGGUCGGGGAUGGGCUCGCGGCCUAUCAGCUUGUUGGUGGGGUAAUGGCCUACCAAGGCGGCGACGGGUAGCCGGCCGGAGAGGGUGGACGGCCACAUUGGGACUGGGAUACGGCCCAGACUCCUACGGGAGGCAGCAGUGGGGAAUAUUGCACAAUGGGCGGAAGCCUGAUGCAGCGACGCCGCGUGGGGGAUGACGGCCUUCGGGUUGUAAACUCCUUUCGACCGCGAGGAAGCCACCUGGUUGGAAGGGUGGUGACGGUAGUGGUAGAAGAAGCACCGGCUAACUACGUG
rnacentral:rRNA from 1 species